GACGAACGCUGGCGGCGUGCCUAAUACAUGCAAGUUGAGCGCUGAAGGUUGGUACUUGUACCGACUGGAUGAGUAGCGAACGGGUGAGUAACGCGUGGGGAAUCUGCCUUUGAGCGGGGGACAACAUUUGGAAACGAAUGCUAAUACCGCAUAAAAACUUUAAACACAAGUUUUAAGUUUGAAAGAUGCAAUUGCAUCACUCAAAGAUGAUCCCGCGUUGUAUUAGCUAGUUGGUGAGGUAAAGGCUCACCAAGGCGAUGAUACAUAGCCGACCUGAGAGGGUGAUCGGCCACAUUGGGACUGAGACACGGCCCAAACUCCUACGGGAGGCAGCAGUAGGGAAUCUUCGGCAAUGGACGAAAGUCUGACCGAGCAACGCCGCGUGAGUGAAGAAGGUUUUCGGAUCGUAAAACUCUGUUGGUAGAGAAGAACGUUGGUGAGAGUGGAAAGCUCAUCAAGUGACGGUAACUACCCAGGAAGGGACGGCUAACUACGUG
rnacentral:rRNA from 1 species